rnacentral:rRNA from 1 species
GACGAACGCUGGCGGCGUGCUUAACACAUGCAAGUCGAACGGAAAGGCCCUGCUUUUGUGGGGUGCUCGAGUGGCGAACGGGUGAGUAACACGUGAGUAACCUGCCCUUGACUUUGGGAUAACUUCAGGAAACUGGGGCUAAUACCGGAUAGGAGCUCCUGCUGCAUGGUGGGGGUUGGAAAGUUUCGGCGGUUGGGGAUGGACUCGCGGCUUAUCAGCUUGUUGGUGGGGUAGUGGCUUACCAAGGCUUUGACGGGUAGCCGGCCUGAGAGGGUGACCGGACACAUUGGGACUGAGAUCCCGCCCAGACUCCUACAGGAGGCAGCAGUGGGGAAGAUUGCACAAUGGGCGGAAGCCUGAUGCAGCAACGCCGCGUGCGGGAUGACGGCCUUCGGGUUAUAAACCGCUUUCGCCUGUGACGAAGCGUGAGUGACGGUAAUGGGUAAAGAAGCACCGGCUAACUACGUG